rnacentral:rRNA from 1 species
UACGUAGGGGGCUAGCGUUGUCCGGAAUUAUUGGCGUAAAGAGCUCGUAGGCGGUUUGUCGCGUCGACUGUGAAAACCCGAGGCUUAACCUCGGGCCUGCAGUCGAUACGGGCAGACUAGAGUUCGGUAGGGGAGACUGGAAUUCCUGGUGUAGGCGGUGAAAUGCGCAGAUAUCAGGAGGAACACCGGUGGCGAAGGCGGGUCUCUGGGCCGAUACUGACGCUGAGGAGCGAAAGCGUGGGGAGCGAACAGG